UAACUGCCGUGCCGAUGCAUUAGUUCUUAAUGUAACUGAGAAUACAGCACACUUGGAGGUUCGUGGGAAUGGAAAUCUUGUACUCUGUAUGUGUAAGUACUAAAACUUGCGUCGCCAUGCAAUCUGAGCCGUAGAUCGUUGUGAGAGCUGUACAGCCACAUUGGCAAAACACUACGCCCUGCGGAUGAAUACGGAACAAAUUUAUGCUAAAGAAAAGUGGUCGUCAUGCAAUUUCAUAGCAGUAAACCGUUGUGAAAGCUGUACAGUAACACUGAUAUUGGUUACGUGGUGCAGAUUCGUAGCGUUUCUGAGGUGCUUGUGCGCAAGGGUCCGUAAUGUCGGAUAGCUGCUCUGUGACCGAUGAAGAACAGCGUGGCCGUGAGGAUCACCUUUGCAAACAGAAGCGGGAGUGGGCACGAAAGCAUCGGCGACCAAUUGCAGUAUAUCACAGUGACCACAAAGCAAUGGUUAUCAUGGUGACAAAGUAAAUAGAAAAUCAAAGAUAACGAAGUUGUGUACGCAAGAUUGAUUUAUGCAGCAGGCGCUCCUUGGCUGCAUCUGCAAUGCUAGCUCAAGGCGAGAAUGCUUUGGGCACGUUGCCAUCUGCAUCCACAGUCAUCCUGGCACAACCGCCAUAGUGGAAAAGUAAAGUAUCAGCAACAUUCUCACACCUACACUGUCCUUAUUGAACUUUCCAAAAGGGGAACAUAUCCAAUAAGAUAAAGCACUAAUUUACUUUCAUGCUGAAGAUUCAUAACUCUUACAAAUUGAUGUGGUUUCUACCUGGUGAUCUUCACU
rnacentral:lncRNA from 1 species